rnacentral:lncRNA from 1 species
CUUUUAAAAAGUUACAAGCAAGAAAAUCUUACCUUCUUUUCUUUAUCUCAUAGAGUUGUUUAUUUUUUAUUGCGACUGUAUAACAGUGAGGUUUAAUUUUCUUUAAUCAACUUUUUUUUGAGUGUUUUUAUUUCAACCUCUAAUAAUGGUAUGUAUACGUAGUAAGGAUGAGGAGUAUAAUCCAUCCAUGGUUACUAUAAUGGCCCAAUUUCGCCCGAGCCCAAGACCAAAUACAAAUAAUAAAUAAAACAAAAAAAAUCUCAAAUAUCCAGUCCAUUUACAAAAAAAAUAGCUGACCCAAAUACAAGCCCAAAAAACUAAAAACCCUAAUAGCCCAAUCAGCCCAAAACCUAAACACCUAACAGAAACCCUAGCCCCCUUAACCCAAGUGGCGUCGCACCCUACCCUAGCC